GCCAGGUGUGGUGAUGCUAGUCCCAGCUACUAGCGAGGCUGAGGUGGGAGGAUGGCUUGACCCCAGGAGUUGUGGGCUGUAAUGCACUAUGUCGAUUGGGUGUCCACACUAAGUUCGGCAUCAGUAUGGUGACCUCCCAGGAGCAGGGAACUACCAAGUUGCCUAAGGAGGGGUGAACUGGCCCAGGUCAGAAAUGGAGCAGGUCAAAACUCCUGGGCUGAUCAGUUGUGGGAUCGCCCCUGUGAAUAGCCACUGCACUCUGGCCUGGGCACCAUAGCGAGACCCUGUCUCUA
ensembl:misc_RNA Metazoa_SRP Metazoan signal recognition particle RNA